AAUGCUAGCCUCCGAGAACAAUACCCAGCCUUAUACAACAUUGCACACGAUAAGAAUAACACUAUUGCGCAAGUGCUCAGCUCAUCCCCGCCAAAUAUUUCGUUCAGGCGGGAUUUGAUUGGCACCCGACUUAUGUCAUGGAAUAAUCUAUUGUCCCGUCUGGAUUCGAUUAUCCUGACACAAGGUCGUGAUGUGUUUCGCUGGAACCUUACUACAUCGGGGUCUUUCACAGUA
rnacentral:rRNA from 1 species